UUCAAUUUUUGACUCUUCAUCUUAUUUAAUUUUUUUUUGUGAUUGAUAUUUUUGUUUUUAUUAGAUGAUAAAUUAUAAAUAGUACUUUACAUGUAACUAAUUUUUUUCUAAUUUUCUGAAAAUUUUUUAAAUAAGACAGAUGGUCAAACGUUGGACACGAAAACCGAAG
rnacentral:pre_miRNA from 1 species